UGCGUAGGCAGCCAGGUCAGUCAGAUGUGAAAGCCCCGGGCUUAACCUGGGAACUGCAUUUGAUACUGCCGGGCUAGAGUAUGGUAGAGGGAAGUGGAAUUCCGGGUGUAGCGGUGAAAUGCGUAGAUAUCCGGAGGAACACCAGUGGCGAAGGCGACUUCCUGGACCAAUACUGACGCUGAGGCACGAAAGCGUGGGUAGCAAACA
rnacentral:rRNA from 1 species